rnacentral:lncRNA from 1 species
CCUCUGCAAGGAUGAACUGAAGAGAGGCAGUUCAGUGACAGCGGCCCCUAUGUGAAGAGUCCUCCUAGAGUGGGGAGGCAGGUCUAGGUGACAUUCCCAGGCAGACCUAGCGGUCAGUGUGUGCCAACAUCUGAAGAAUCAAUGUCCCCUCCAGUGGUGACACAGCACGGGGUGUCCUUGAGGUCCUGGGAGAGUGGUGAAGGAAGGGAGGCUGGCCACUGUCCUCAGUGAGGAGAGGUAGGUGACACCCAGAGUGGCUGAGGGGCCAUGGUGGACACUUCAGAGGGUCACAAGCACUGACUGGGGCCAACGGAGUCCCGGAGUCAUAGUGAGGUGAGAGCAUCAGCAGGACAGCACACUGGAGAAACAGAGCAGCCCACGCAGCAGCCAGCGGGGCCAGGACGAUGGCACAGUAGCUGCCUCAGCUUUCCCAGCAUCCUUUGGGCCAUCAUGGCCCAUGUUGGCUGGAAGUCUAGAAUCUUCUCUGAAGCCUCUCCCACCAACGUGAGCUGUCCACAAUCCUCAAGACUUACAUGGCCUGAAGGAUUCAGUCUCUUUUCCAGGUGGAAGCCGGAGGGGACUGACUUCCACCAAGCCAGCUCCUUUGUACCUUUGAGGCAGCUGGCUACCAGCACCAGCCCCUUGCAGGGGAAGAGACGGCUCAGAGAAGUCAUGAAGCUCACCCAGACCACACAGAAGCUCCAUCUGGGACCAGAUCUGCCCGUUUCUGACCGUCCCCAUCUGCCUCCCACAGACAGUCUCAGGAACCGAGCUCAGAUGUGAGGCCAGUUUGGGAACCCGGCGAUGUUCGCUCCAUCCAGCA